AUUGAGGAGAAAAAGAUUAUAUCUGGAUAUAUUUACACCCAAGCAGAGCUACAAAGGGUAUCAGCACUGAAGAGUGAAGUUGAUGAAGUGAAAGGACAAUCUCGGAUGACACGUCUGAAAUGGUGUUCUGAUGCCAGGCCUGCACUCUCUGUAGAAGAUGUCCAUGAUGGUGAUUGGCCCAAGAUUCACAAACUGCACAAAGGAUCAAAAGGAAGAGGCCACCUCAGAAAGGGCAAAAUGCGGGCAGUGGGGCCCCUGGUGGAUGUGACAGAUGAUGCAGACCCUUCAAGACCAAGGAAGGGGGUGAUAGGUGGCAGCUUGUACAGCAAGUGUCACGAGCAAGAGUGAUGUAUUUCAAGCACUGAAAGAACAGAGGUGCCAACCUAGAUUACUACAACCAGUGCCUUCAGAACUGGAAGAGAAUUAGAGACCUUCCAAGAUGAGAAGAUCCUAACAGAAUUCAUGGGCACUAAACCAGCUGGACAGAUACUUAAAGGAAUCCUACACACAGAAGAGGAAGAAAGAUGAACACAACCAUGAGAGCUCAGGAAGUGUCUCUAGGAGAAUAGAUACACAAUUGAGAAAUGAGAGUGUCACAUGUUAUCAAUUUAGAAAACCCUGAAACAUCUGAGAAUUCCAUGUUUCCUUCUUCACCAAAAAGACAAGCAAAAAAGAGAAAGAAAGGAAGAAAGAAAGAAAGAAAGACAACAAAAAGAUAAGAAACAUACCAUACCUUUCAGAAUAACCUUGAGUACACAUGGUCUUUAUUCUUCAAUUUAAAGAUAGAGGGAUAGAUUGAAUCUUUUUUUAAAUCUAAUUUCCACAAGAAACUCCCCUCCUCUGCAAAAGUGAGCAAAACUGAAAAUGUAAAGAUGGAAAAUAAUUUUCCAAGCAAGUGGAGUGUAGAGGCAGGGAGAGCUCACGAUGCUUAUAUAUGACAAACACACUGAAGCCAAAGCCAGGCACAAGAGACAAACAAGGUCACUCUAUGUUCAUCAAGGGAAAUACAGCAAGAAGGUAUCACAAAGUCACCAAUACAUAUAAAUGCACGAAUAUUGGAGCACCCAAUUUUAUCAAACACUACUAGACAAAAAGGAAGCCAUAGGCUCCAAAAAAAUAAAAUGGGGUGACUUCAGAGCCCAUCUCUCUGGGAGGUAGAUCUUCCAGAUGAACAAUCAACAAGGGAAUGUCAGAGUUAAGUAGCACUAUGGGACGAGUGAACUUAACAGACAUUGAUAGAAAAGGCCAUGCAACAGCUGUGGGGUACACAUGCCACUCACCAGCACAAGGAACAUUCCCCAAGGUAUAUUAUGUAUUAGGCCAUAAAGCAAGUUCUUAAAAAUACCAAAAAAUCUUAUAUGCUUUCCAAUCACGAUGAGAUGAAACCAGAAACUAAGAGCAGAAGAACCUACAGAAAACUCACAAACACUCAAAGAUUAUGCCUCACACCAUCAAACAAGUGAAAAAUCCCUAGAGUCAGAAGAAUAUGGAAAGACAACAUAUCAGAACUUGUGGAAUCCAGAAACAGCACUAUGAAAAGGAAAGACUACAGGAAACUGUACCUAAAGACAGAAGAGAGAGACCUCAAGUAAAUUUCCUGGUGAUGGCUCAGGAAAACAUAAACCAGUCUAAAGUCAGGAGAAGGAAAGAAAUAAUCAAGAUUAGGGUGAAAAAAUGCAAUAGGAAGUAGAGGAGCACCACCAAAGUUCAUGGGAACAAAGAGUAGUUCUUUGAAAGCAUAAAGCAAAGGUGGCAAAACUUUAGCUAAAUUAACAAAAGAAAAAGAGAUUAGACCCAGACCAAUACAAUGAAACUUAAAAAGGGAGGUCUUACAACAGAUUCCAAGGAAAUUCAAAGGAUCAUUAGGGAGGAUUUUGAACAACUACAUGCAAAUAUGUUGAAAAAUCUAGGAGAAACCGACAAAUUUAGGGACCCAAAAUGAAUCAAGAAGAUACAAACAUUCAGAUAAUAGGAGGGACAAGUAAGGAGACUGCAGUAGGGUCUUAUGACAGAGAUAAGCUCAGGUCCCAAUGGAGUCAAUGCUGAAUUUGACCAGAUUCUAGAAGAAGCAAUAACACCAGUAUCAUGUUACCCAAAAUGUUCCAAAGCCUAGAUGUGGAAGGAACUUGUCUAAACUCAGCCUCCAAGUUUACUGUGUUCUGAUUUAAAACCUGACCAGGACAGAACCACAACAACCAUGAGCAGAACAAUGUGAGGGGGACGUCCCUGCCCAGGAAUGGAACCAGGUGUUGUGGGGGGAUGGAGACAGUGGUGAGUGUAGUGCAGGUCUAAGAAGUGGUUUUGGGAGGCUGCAGGGGAGCCUGCUCCUGGGGCUUUUCUGCUGCUCCUGUAACAGGCACAGUCUAAUUAGAUUUCUAUUGGACUGGGGAGUAUUAGGGUGUCAGCCUGGUGAAGGACGAGAGCCUCCACUGGGCUUUCUGAAGAGAUGACUCUUGUCUGCAGUUUGUGAGCUAUAAUUACGACAGCAUUAGACAAAGAUGUGCCAAAAGGGUUCCAUCAUUUUCAGGGUCGUCAUGGUUAAGAAAGUUAAAAUUCUUUGUGUUUAGAGACAAGAAGAGGAGAGGGAGUGUAGGUUGAGACAGAGCAAGUGGCUGACCUUGGGAUUGCUCCCAUGGGUUGUUGUCUUAGGGGACAUGGCCCUGCCCCACUGAGGUGGGUGCCCUGGCCAAAGUGCCCUCACAAGUCUUCAAGGGGCAGAGCAUGCCAGACUCACCAUCCUAUGGUGGAGGUGAUAGGAUGCCCAGUGACCCCAUGGAGUGGAGGCAGCUGAGGUCAGCUGAGGCCAGCUGAGGGCAGUGGAGGACUGUUGGCAUUUAGGCAGUGUCAGUCCUUAAAGCAGUUAGCAUCACCCUAUCUGAGUAAUGGGGCUGAAGGUGAUAAAGCCCAAGUGUGUUCUUAGCGCUUUUUCACGCUUCUCGUUUCUCCACUGGGGCUGAUGACCAUGGCCCCAAAGGCAGAGAUCAGAUCUGGGAGCCAGUCUGGACUCCCAGGUCUCAUAGAUGGAAUAUGGGUGGACUUCAAAGUAGAGGUUGAUUAUGGGAGUGUGGUGCUGGUUCCCCCAGGAGAGCUUAAGCCUUUCUGUGUGAGCAGGCUUUGGAGGAUGGCAGUAACUGUGGCCACACCAGUGGUUUCUUUCCCUGGUGUGUGCCUUGCUUUCUGUCCCUUGGUCCCCAUGGUGGUGCUCUGGCUAGGGGCACUGGAGGUGUUCUGUUCUAACUGUGCCCCAUGUUGCUGCCUGUUGCUUGGGGUCCCUUUACUUUGGGAGGAGAUACACAAGGCCUCAAACACAAGGCCUCAAAAGCUGUAAUGAGUUCAGGAAGCAAGUCAUGGCUCCCAGAUCCUCUCGAUGUCACAGGGACCAAAGGGAAACUAGAGGUAUCCUUUCUGGCUGCACUGCUUGUCCCACAAGGUGAGCUUAGGUGUUUCUGGGUGGGCAGGCUUUGAGGGAUGGGACUUGGGUUUGAAACACCACUAUUUCCUUGUCCCUUUUUACCCUCUUUUGUGUGUUUUCUGGGUGCCAUGGUGGUGCUCUGUCUAGGGGCACUGGAGGUGUUCUGUUCCAACCUUGCCCCAUGUUGCUGCCUGUUGCUUGGGGAUUCUCCUCUUUGGGAGGAGCUACACCAGGCCCCAAAGGCUGACAUUAGUUCAGGGAGCAAGUCUGGGCUCUCUGAUGUCCUUGAUGUCCCAGGGACUGAAGGGAAACUAGAGAUACCCUUUGUAGUAUUUGUCCUUUGAGGUGAGCUUUGGUUUUUCUGGGUGGGCAGGCUUUGAGGUAUGGCACUCGGGGUAGGAACUCCACUCUUUCCUUGCCCUUUUUACUCUCUUUUGUGUGUUUUCCAGGUGCCAUGGUGGUGCUCUGGCUAGGGGCAGUGUAGGUGUCAUUUCCCAAACUUGCCCCAUGGUGCUCUCUAGUUUUGGGGGUUUCUCUACUUUUUGAGCUUGAUAUUUCCUUGUGUGAUGUCCAACCCAAGGACAAGUCUGUCCUCGCAGCUGCCAUUGAGGUCACUGAGUGUGUCUGGGUUCUGGCAUGAGCACCCAUGGUAGUGUUUCUAUGUUUGUCAGCCCCAAGGGAUAAGUAGUUUAGGCUCCUCAAGGUUGUUGGGCCCACAGUCAACAACCUGCUGCCCCUGGACCUGGAGCUCCCACGUGUCCAAGCUGAUGACAGCUGACAAAGCUGGGGGCUCCAGGCUUCAUCCCACCAGGAACCCCAGAGCUUGGUGGGACGGUGGCUCCAGGGGUGAGAGGCUGCUUCCCCUGCGGAAUGUUUCCUCACAUCCUUCGAACUAGAGAGCUGGAGCUUGCUGCAGGUGAGGGCCUGUGAGUACAUUAGGGGUUUGGGCCCUGGUGAGAGUGCCAGAAGCUCCUACCCAAGGUGGAGGGAGGCCCCAGAUGUGGGGGCUGUGAAGGCAUAAUAGUGUUCAAGGGCGUGACCCCAAAGGGGGCCACUGGCUGUGCAGCCAAGCCUGCCAAUGUGCUGAAAGAGGGCCUGGGAGGAAGGGCCAAAGCAGCAAUUGGCAGGCUGAGGGAGAGCGGUCCUGUAACAUUGGUGAUGGUAGGGUGAAUCUGAGAUGAGACAGCAGAGCCAACCAACACUGGGGUGUGGGCCACCAUGGUUAUGCUGCUGAGGGGGGGGAGGUCUGACUGAGGUCCACUGAUGCCAGAGGCAUGGCCCCUCCCAGUGGAGAGGGAUCCCCCCCAUGGGUUUGUGGGGCUAUGGCACAGCUGUUCCCAAUGGCCUGGGUCUCACCCAUCAGAAGAUGGUUGAUGCGCUGCAGAGCUUUCUUCUUCUCCUGGUCUAGGUCCUCAGCAGUCACUGGACAGGCCACUAACAGAGGUGGUGGCAGCUUCAGAGGUUCCCCUCGGAAACUUGCGUUUCCAUGGCCUACCGGUGUCUCUUGUGGGUGAGGACUUCUUCCUGGGCAAUGGCUGUCCUGCCCUGCCUUCUGCCACCUUCUCACCCUGGGCCUUCUUUGGGGGAAUCCCUGGGGAUGAAGAGCAUCCCGGGGGGGAGGGGGGCUCCCCUUUGGAUGGGUCUGGAGCCCUCCUCUUCAGGGCUUGGAGACCUCGCGUAGAGCUGUAGGAGCUGCUGAUGGGGUUUCUUUUGGGGCAGGAGCUCAUGCAGGUGGCCCGGGAGCUCUCAGCUCUGUCUUGGGAGCUCUGGGUGCAGAGGUUUGCCUGCAGAGCCCCAGGCCUCAGCACAAAGGCAGGCACACAGCUAUGGGCCCCCAGGGGCCUAAAAGUAGAUUGUGCUCUUCCAGUGACCUGGGGACUCCUCUCUGAUGUUCUCUAUCUACAGCGUGCUCGGCUUGCUCAGCCACCACUUAGCCUCUGUCUCCAGGAGCUAUGAUCACAAUCCUCCCUGGGUGGGUUCUUGGGGUGCUGGAAACUGGCAAGGGGCGACUUCCUGCCCCUGAGCCCUACAAGGCGUCUGCUGGCUGGGUCUGCGGACUGAGCUGCAGGAAGCCCUGAAAGCUGCAGCUGACAGCAGCAUCUUCUUCAGGAGACCAGGCAUGCGAAGGGAGGUGGCAAUGUCCAAGUCUCGGAGAAAAGAUCCAAGGGUCCGCAGGACCCUGGAAAAGCACCAAGGAGGCACUUUUUGCAACCGCUGAGGAGCAGUUGCAGGGUGGCAGCAAGAUGACCUGCGAGUGGUGGCACUGGCCCAGGCAGCCUCGAGUGGCCAACCAGUAUAGGGAAGUUAGCGGGGUCCACGACCGGGCUUCUUGUAGGACCCUUCUGGCAGGUCUCUGCCCCCCCAGCGCCGGGGCAGGGCUGAGGGACAACACUUGCCCUGGGAAGUCCCCAUAGCAGUCUUAGCGAAGGCGCUAGUCAGUAAUUCUAGUGUCCAUCACAGAAGCUCCUUCUUCGGCUGCCCACGCAGCUUCAAGCAAAAUGGCUGUCAGACCUGUUGCUAGGACACAGCUGAGGAAGGAAUGAGUGGAGAACACACGAGCAUGUGAGGAAAACCAUCCACACUGGGCAAGAGGCAGACUUGCGCCAGGAAAUGACGUGCAAAUUCCCCAUGCGUGUGCAAAGUUUGCAUGCGCGUGCAAAGUCCACAUGCUUGCACCAGAUGCUGGAGAAAUAGGCGUGGGAACUGCGUGCCUGGUGCGUGUGUGGGUCCUGGGAGGACUGUUGAGUGCUGGCACUGGGGCUGUGAUCCAGGUCCCACUGAUCCACCUCCUGACCCAAUGUGGUGUCCCAAUCAUCUGGGAAGGGUUGUAGAUGAAGGAAAGCCCAAAGGUUGAGGGGUGGCAGCUAUGGCCAGGCCAGCGAUCUCUCCCCUCAGACUGGUGCAGUGACCCCGCCCCUCCCCAGAGGCGGCCAGGAUGGCAGCACAGGUGGCCUGGAGUCCAGUGGAGGUGAGGGCAGCCGGAGAAUUGAGAAUAGCUCUUGGGGCAUGGAGCAGGUGGGGACUAGGGUGUCAAGCAGGUCUUUGGCUGGCAAUACCUGCGCAUUCUGUAGGGAGACAUAUCCCUGCCUCUUCAAGAGAGCUCUUCUCUGAAAAGGCGGGCAGUGGCAUGGCCCCAAUAGAAGCGCCCCCCCCAUACCUCCAAGCUUGGAACAGGGUGGUAACCUCCCUGGGCCUCUGAAGGGGAAAGCAAGGGCAUUAGAUAGGCAGUGCACCAACAGGUGAGCAAGUGGUGGUGGCAUCUCCAGGAUCUCGCUUGCUGGGGCUGGGUAAGGACACCCUGACCUCCCUUGAAGGUGUGAGCUUGUGUUUGUAUCUAGCCUUGCUCUGGUGAG